CACCGCCCGUCACAUCACGAAAGUGGGUUGUACUAGAACGUCUGUGCCCUGACCCGCAAGGGGAGGAGCGGCCCAAGGUAUGACUCAUGAUUGGGGUG
rnacentral:rRNA from 1 species